rnacentral:rRNA from 1 species
UAAAAAGGUACUCAAGGGCACAAAACGGAUGCCUUGACAUAUACUACCGAAGAAGGACGUGGAAGACUGCGAAAAGUCUCGGGGAGCCGUCAACAGGCUUUGAUCCGGGAAUAUCCGAAUGGGGAAACCUGCCGCGGGUCAUGCCGUGAGCAUCGUAUGCUGAAUUCAUAGGCAUAGCGAAAGGGAACCGUCUGAACUGAAACAUCUUAGUAGGACGAGGAAAAGAGAGUAAAUAACGAUUCUGGGAGUAGUGGCGAGCGAAACCGGAAGAGCCCAAACCUUUUUGGUUCUGUCUUUGUUUUUCAUCCCGAUACGUCGGGGUGACGAAUAAAGACAGUACGGCUGACAGGCCAAUGCCAAAAGGGUGUUGUGAGUUUACAUAAUUUUAGAGUUAAGUGCUGUACUUUGUACAACAUUUGGCUUUAAAACCGACAACUGUCAUUGAGCGGAUAAGGUAAGAAAUCGGCGUGGUUAGCAGAACAAGUUGGAAAGCUUGGCCCAAGACUGUGAUAGCCAGGUAUGCGAAAACGACGCUGACCUUAUAUAUGUAUUCUCGAGUAGGACGGGGCACGAGAAACCCUGUUUGAAUCUGGCAGGACCACCUGCCAAGGCUAAAUAUAGUAUAUGAUCGAUAGCGAACUAGUACGGUGACGGAAAGGUGAAAAGAACCCCGGGAGGGGAGUGAAAUAGAACCUGAAAUUUUGUGCCUACAAGGAGUCGGAGCAGAUUUAUUCUGUGACGGCGUGCUUUUUGUAGAACGAUCCAGCGAGUUAAUUUUAUGUGCAAGGUUAAGUUAAAUAACGAAGCCAUAGUGAAAGCGAGCCUGAAUAGGGCGAAUUAGUACAUAGGAUUAGACCCGAAACCAGGUGACCUAACCAUGAGCAGGCUGAAGCGACGGUAACACGUCGUGGAGGGCCGAACCAGGGUACGCUGCAAAGUGCUUGGAUGACUUGUGGUUAGCGGUGAAAUGCCAAUCGAACUUGGAGAUAGCUGGUUCUCCGCGAAAUAGCUUUAGGGCUAGCGUCAUGUGGUAGCAAACAGGGGUAGAGCUCUGUAAAGGACUGGGGGGAGCAAUCCUACCCACCCUUAACAAACUACGAAUACUGUUUGUGGAAUCAUGGCAGUCAGAACGUCGGUGCUAAGAUCGGCGCUCGAAAGGGAAACAGCCCAGACCAUCGUCUAAGGUCCCUAAAUUAACACUAAGUGGUAAACAAGGUGAAAUUUCUUAAACAGCUAGGAUGUUGGCUUAGAAGCAGCCAUUCAUUUAAAGAGUGCGUAACAGCUCACUAGUCAAGAGAUUUUGCGUGGAAGAUGUAACGGGGCUCAAGUGUUAUACCGAAGACAUGGAUUUGUCAUUUAUGACAAGUGGUAGCGGAGCGUUCCUAUCGCGCAGAAGCGGUUCUGUGAGGAAUCGUGGAGCAUUAGGAAGUGAGAAUGCUGGAAUGAGUAACCAUAAGUGGGGUGAGAAUCCCCACGGCCGAAAGAGCAAGGAUUCCUGGGCUACAGUAAUUGUCCCAGGGUUAGUCGGGCCUAAGCCGAGGCGCAUAGCGUAGGCGAUGGACACCAGGUUAAUAUUCCUGGACCGGUUAAAUUUUGUAUGCUGUUCGCGGCGAGAUAGGAGGAGCGGAUUCUUGGUUUUUAUCCGUUCAACACACACGGGAACGUGUGUGGAGUAAAAGUUAGCCCUCGGGCUGAUGAUUCCUCCGAAAGCGCUGACUAGAAAAGCAGGCAUACGCGUGGAUUUAGCCGCCCGUACCGCAAACCAACACAGGUGCUCGAGUCGAGAAGACUAAGGCUUACGAGAGAACCUUUGCUAAGGAACUCGGCAAUACAGCGACCGUAACUUCGGGAUAAGGUCUGCCUCCGUACCAUACGGAUGAGCCGCGAUUUCUGCAAAACAACAAGACAAUGUCAGGAAAUUUGAAAAGAUUUUCGAUAAGUUCAGAUGUCGCGAACUUCUCGUACGUAUCGUACGGAGGCUGCAACAAAAGAGCCCACGGAACUGUUUAUCAAAAACACAGGUCUCUGCUAACACGAAAGUGGAUGUAUAGGGGCUGACUCCUGCCCAGUGCUGGAAGGUUAAGGGGAGCGCUUCACGGUGCGAACUGAAGCCCCAGUGAACGGCGGCGGUAACUAUAACCGUCCUAAGGUAGCGAAAUUCCUUGUCAGGUAAGUUCUGACCCGCACGAAUGGAGUAAUCAUGUGGGCACUGUCUCAGCAAAGGACUCGGUGAAAGUGCAUUGGCGGUAAAGAUGCCGUCUGUCCGCACCAGGACGAAAAGACCCCGUGGAGCUUUACUACAGCUUCGCAUUGUUCCGGGUUCUAACCCGUGUAGUAUAGGAGGGAGACUUUGAAGCAGAUACGCUAGUAUUUGUGGAGUCGCCAGUGAAAUACCUCCCUUGUUAGAAUCUUGAUCUCACCAUUACCGUUAUCCGGUAAUGGGACCGUGCGUGGUGGGUAGUUUAACUGGGGCGGUUGCCUCCUAAAGAGUAGCGGAGGCGUUCAAAGGUUGGCUAACUACGGAUGGAAAUCGUAGUGAUAGUAUAUACGCACAAGCCAGCUUGACUGUGAGGAGUACAUUCCGAUCAGAGACGAAAGUCGGAGUAAGUGAUCCGCUGUACGUACAUUUAUGUACAUGAAUGUGGGAUCGACAGCGCAAACGGAUAAAAGUUACCCCGGGGAUAACAGGCUUAUAGCGCCCAAUAGUUCACAUAGACGGCGCUGUUUGGCACCUCGAUGUCGGCUCAUCACAUCCUGGGGCUGGAGCAGGUCCCAAGGGUUCGGCUGUUCGCCGAUUAAAGUGGUACGCGAGCUGGGUUCAGAACGUCGUGAGACAGUUCGGUUUAUAUCCGGUGUGGACGUCAGGAAUUUUGCGAGGAUUUGCCCCUAGUACGAGAGGACCGGGGUGAACGAACCUCUGGUGUAUCGGUUGUGGCCACCUGCCGCAUUGCCGAGUAGCUAUGUUCGGAGCAGAUAAGCGCUGAAAGCAUAUUAAGCGCGAAACUGACCUCAAGAUUAGAAUUCCCUAUGAGGACACUAAUAGACGAUUAGUUUGAUAGGCGCAAGGUGGAAGUGCAGUAAUGCAUGGAGCUGAAGCGUACUAAUAGUCCCAUUGCCUUUUUAUG